GCCAACGCCGCCGCGGACGAGCGCGGUGCCUUCUGGGUGACGGWGAAGCCACGGGGUCCGGGUCCUGGCGCCAGCUCUUCACCCAGGUGCCAGCUCUGCCGGACCGGGCGGCAGGUGGGCCUCUCCUUUCUUCUCCGGGGAGGGGUGGCUCCGGCAGCCGCACUGUUUGCUCAGGGCCAGCGCGCAGACGCGGAGGGGCCCGAGCCUCACCUCACGUGGCGGGCUGCUCACCUGGCAAGGAGAAGGAAGCCCAGAGCGCAGUCGGCCCGCAGGUAGCCGAAGCCCUGGCCCCCUCAAGCCCGCUCUCCCCACCUGCGCGGGCUGUGGGAACGCUGCAAACGUCCGGUCGUCUGGAGGCGGGGGCGGGGGCCAGAGAUCAUCCGUGUAGAUAAUUAGGUUCGAUCUGGAAGAUGAAGGCGGGCUGGGAAGCAAAGGAAAUCCAACGAUUCCCCCCUCCGCCCACCUGUUGCUAAGGACCACAAUGUGUCUGGGUCACAGACAAUUCAAUGGUAGAGGAGAGGGAUCCUGCUGGGACAUGUGAAGCUGCUAUUUCAAAUCAUGACACCAGGUGCCCGUGAUCAGAACUCACUGUGAAGAGAGAAAUCGAUGCUCAAGCCGACGUUGGACCCCCAGCCCAGGGACCACCACCACGA